GUGCCAGCCGCCGCGGUAAUACGUAGGGUGCGAGCGUUAAUCGGAAUUACUGGGCGUAAAGCGUGCGCAGGCGGUCUUGUAAGACAGUCGUGAAAUCCCUGGGCUUAACCUAGGAACUGCGAUUGUGACUGCAAGGCUAGAGUGUGUCAGAGGGGGGUGGAAUUCCACGUGUAGCAGUGAAAUGCGUAGAGAUGUGGAGGAACACCGAUGGCGAAGGCAGCCCCCUGGGAUAACACUGACGCUCAUGCACGAAAGCGUGGGGAGCAAACAGGAUUAGAUACCCUGGUAGUCCACGCCCUAAACGAUGUCAACUGGUUGUUGGGUGGGUAACCACUUAGUAACGAAGCUAACGCGUGAAGUUGACCGCCUGGGGAGUACGGUCGCAAGAUUAAAACUCAAAUAAAUUGACGG
rnacentral:rRNA from 1 species